ensembl:lncRNA
GAGAGACAGAGAGACAGGGAGGAGGUGGAGAGACAGGGAGGAGGUGGAGAGACAGAGACUGAGAGGAGGUGGAGAGACAGAGACAGAGAGGAGGUGGAGAGACAGAGACAGAGAGGAGGUGGAGAGACAGAGACAGACAGAGAGGAGGUGGAGAGACAGAGACAGACAGAGAGGAGGUGGAGAGACAGACAGAGAGGAGGUGGAGAGACAGACAGAGAGGAGAUGGAGAGGAGGUGGAGAGACAGAGAGACAGGGAGGAGGUGGAGAGACAGGGAGGAGGUGGAGAGACAGAGACGGAGAGGAGGUGGAGAGACAGAGACGGAGAGGAGGUGGAGAGACAGAGACGGAGAGGAGGUGGAGAGACAAAGAGGAGGUGGAGAGACAGAGGAGGUGGAGAGACAGAGAGACAGAGAGGAGGUGGAGAGACAGGAGCAGAGGUGGAGAGACAGGAGCGGAGGUGGAGAGACAAGAGAGGAGGUGGAGAGACAGAGACAGAGAGGAGGUGGAGAGACAGAGACAGAGAGGAGGUGGAGAGACAGAGACAGAGAGGAGGUGGAGAGACAGAGACAGAGAGGAGGUGGAGAGACAGACAGAGAGGAGG